rnacentral:rRNA from 1 species
GAUGAACGCUGGCGGCGUGCUUAACACAUGCAAGUCGAACGGAAAGGCCUCUGCUUGCAGGGGUACUCGAGUGGCGAACGGGUGAGUAACACGUGGGUGAUCUGCCCUGCACUUCGGGAUAAGCCUGGGAAACUGGGUCUAAUACCGGAUAGGACAAUGGUUUGGAUGCCGUUGUGGAAAGUUUUUCGGUGUGGGAUGAGCUCGCGGCCUAUCAGCUUGUUGGUGGGGAAUGGCCUACCAAGGCGUCGACGGGUAGCCGGCCUGAGAGGGUGUACGGCCACAUUGGGACUGAGAUACGGCCCAGACUCCUACGGGAGGCAGCAGUGGGGAAUAUUGCACAAUGGGCGCAAGCCUGAUGCAGCGACGCCGCGUGGGGGAUGACGGCCUUCGGGUUGUAAACUCCUUUCGCUAGGGACGAAGCGCAAGUGACGGUACCUGGAGAAGAAGCACCGGCUAACUACGUG